UUGGAGGGCAAGUCUGGUGCCAGCAGCCGCGGUAAUUCCAGCUCCAAUAGCGUAUAUUAAAGUUGUUGCAGUUAAAAAGCUCGUAGUUGAAUUUCGGGAUUUAUCCGUCGGUCGGGCUUUUGGGUCUGUACUGGCGUGAUGGAUUCCUACCUUCUGAAUAACCGGCAUGUCAUUAAUUUGGUGCGCCGGGGAAGCAGGACUGUUACCUUGAAAAAAAUAGAGUGCUUAAAGCAGGCUUAUGCCUGAAUACAUUAGCAUGGAAUAAUGAAAUAGGACGGCAUGGUUCUAUUUUGUUGGUUUCUAGGAUCACCGUAAUGAUUAAUAGGGAUAGUUGGGGGCAUUAGUAUUCAAUUGUCAGAGGUGAAAUUCUUGGAUUUAUUGAAGACUAACUUCUGCGAAAGCAUUUGCCAAGGAUGUUUUCAUUAAUCAAGAACGAAAGUUAGGGGAUCGAAGACGAUCAGAUACCGUCGUAGUCUUAACCAUAAACUAUGCCGACUAGGGAUCGGACGAUGUUAAUUUUUUAAUGACUCGUUCGGCGCCUUACGGGAAAC
rnacentral:rRNA from 1 species